rnacentral:rRNA from 1 species
UACAGAGGGUGCGAACGUUGCUCGGAAUUACUGGGCGUAAAGCGCAUGUAGGCGGAUCGAUAAGUCGGGCGUGAAAUCCCCAGGCUCAACCUGGGAACUGCGCUCGAAACUGUAGGUCUUGAGUGUCGGAGAGGAUGGCGGAAUUCCUGGUGUAGAGGUGAAAUUCGUAGAUAUCGGGAGGAACACCAGUGGCGAAGGCGGCGAUCUGGGAAGAUACUGACGCUGAGGUGCGAAAGCGUGGGGAGCAAACAGG